CCACAAUAAGAGUUUAUUGAAGAUGUGCAUCUGCUACAUCUGCUGUGGGUCAUUGCGUUACCAAGGGUUUGGCAAUCACAGGUGCAGGUGUAAAUAAGAACAUGGCAUAGAUGGAGAAAAACCCUAUUAACACCUUAUAGAGUUUUCUCUUGAUCUUGGGGCUGGAUCAAAGUAUUCAGUCUCCGAAGCUGCUGCUGUGCUCUCUCGGAUGAGUGCUUGAAUUUCAGACUGUACUUCCUGCAGCUGGUGGUGAGAAUACGAUGAAGGCAGAACAUACAGAGCCUCUGGGGGGAAUAUUCCCACUCAAGGGAUCAUCAGGAGCUUGACCUUGGGCUAGCUAGAGCCUUCAAUGCUCUCACCUUUGGGAAAAGACUGAAAGCAUUAGAUGUGUUGGGGAUUUCACGGGGAUUGGCAGCCUUGAAAUGCUCUUUGGAUAUUACUUUUAAUAUUUGAAAAAAGAAAAUCUUUUGAUCAGUGAUCACACAGAUUGUCCUGAAGUUUCAAGACCCAGUGAACAGACCUUGCUCUACUAAGUAAAACAUUCUUUCAAGCCAUAUAGGUAAUAAAAACCAAAUAAAA